rnacentral:sRNA from 1 species
AAGUCGUAACAAGGUUUCCGUAGGUGAACCUGCGGAAGGAUCAUUAUCGUACAAAAUGUGAGGGGCAUGCAAGGGCUGUCGCUGGCUCAAAGUCGUGCACGCCCGGGUGUGUCCCCUCACAUAACAAUCCAUCUCACCCUUUGUGCAUCACCGCGUGGGCUCCCUUCUCGGAGGGGGUUCGCGUUUUCACACAAACCCCCCCCUUAAAAAGUGUAGAAUGACCUCAUGUAUGCGUUAACCCGCAAUCAAUACAACUUUCAACAACGGAUCUCUUGGCUCUCGCAUCGAUGAAGAACGCAGCGAAAUGCGAUACGUAAUGUGAAUUGCAGAAUUCAGUGAAUCAUCGAAUCUUUGAACGCACCUUGCGCCCCUUGGUAUUCCGAGGGGCACACCCGUUUGAGUGUCGUGAAAACCUCAACCUCCUUGGUUUCUUCUGGAGACCAAAGAAGGCUUGGACUUUGGAGGCCUUUGCUGGCACCUCUCUUUUUGAAGGCCAGCCCCUCUUAAACAAAUUAGCGGGGUCCUCUUUGCUGAUCCUCGACGUGUGAUAAGAUGUUUCCAUGUCUUGGUUUCUGGCUCUGUCACUUUUGGGACCCGCUUCUAACCGUCUGGACCUUGCGUCGAGACAACGUUCGAGCAUGAGCCUCCCUUCUCGGGAAGCUCCCUCGACCCCACGAACCCUUGACCUCAAAUCGGGUGAGACUACCCGCUGAACUUAA